GAUUCUUGUCCUAUCAAGUGACGGGGCAAAGCGCUGUGGACAGUUCUGUGUUGUAUACAAUGCACUUGAACAAAUGACCAUGGAUAGAGAAGUGGACAUAUUUACCAUAACACGGCUGCUACAGAUUCGUCGACCUGAGUUUAUAGCUAAUUUGGAGGAUUAUCAGUUUUGUUAUGACGCCGUUGCCGAUUACCUACAAAAUGAUACAGUAUAUGCCAACAGCUAAAGACCUACUGCCAACCGUUUUUAACAAAUGUUUGAUUACACGCA